GUGAAUCAUCGAAUCUUUGAACGCAUCUUGCGCUCCUUGGUAUUCCGAGGAGCAUGCCUGUUUGAGUGUCAUGAAACCCUCUCGGACCCGCCCCUUUUGCCGGGGUGGGUGUGGAUUUGGACGCCUGCGGGUCGCCGCUCGUCUUUAAAUGCAUCAGCUGGUCCCUUUUGUGGUCGUUCCGAACGACGGUGUGAUAACAAAACGCUUUAGUGCACCGUUUCGUCCCCCGGCCUGGGUCGCUUUAGAGCCGUCCUCCUCGGACCACUUUCAUGUCAUCUGACCUCAAAUCAGGUAGGACUACCCGCCGAACUUAAGCAUAUCAAUAAGCGGAGG
rnacentral:rRNA from 1 species